CUCCCCUCAGGCAGCGCGCGCGGGCAACGGCGGAGCGGGAGAGCCCCGGGCGGUGCGGGAGACGAGGAGAGCAGACGGGAGAAGAGAGGAGAGGAGAGGAGAGCAGCCGCUGCCUCGCCCCUCUCGCUCUUCCUCUCGGUUGCACUGAGGCCAGAGCUAACCCAGAGCUGCAGAGCUGAUCCAAAGGACCUUAUUGUUUGGGGAAAAGCUCCCAGGAACUUCACUACAGCCUGGACCUGUUCUUUAGACCUGCCUGCUGCAAACCAGCUCGUGCUUAUGUUUGUAGUGGCAUUCCCGUGCCUUUUGGGGCUUGUAGGCAUCCUGGCUUCUCAGUCUGGGGGCUCUGCUCACCCCUCUCCAGAUGAAGAGGGGACACUCCAGAUGAAGAGGGGACACUGAAGAUCCAAAAGCCCUGCAGGCACUGACAUUUCUGGGCGUGAGGAGCCAGGGUGGCCUCACCAACUGGUGUGUCCAGGCUCUCAGAACUACAAAGAAUGAGUCAGAAGAGCUGAGUCCCAAUUCUGCCUCUGCCCAUGAUUCUCUGCAUCAUCAUAUUCCCUCUCAGCUUCCUCAGCUGAAAAACAGGAGUCAUAAUAUUUCCUUACUUACAAAAGCUGUUAGGAGGAUUAUUGCAUUGUUGUGAAUUCCACAGAUGAAAGGUACUACAGAAGAACAAACUGCAAUUAUUGUUUCAAACCUCUGCCCUAAUCCUGUCAUCCUUAACUUACUGAAUAACACUUACUCAAUCGAGGAAAUCCUGCCACUACACUGAAGAUGAUCACUGGAAAAGAUGACUCCCUGUUGUAAUAAGAGCAUUUAUCCCCUUGUGUUCGACACCCUUCUGCCUGACACUGGAGUGAUCUGAGUCAUGUAAUCUCCCCUUGCAGAGGGAAUCUGUGGUUUUGAUAGUGGAACAGGCACAGGUAAAAAUCAGAAGCUUGCAGGAAGUACCUAUGGCAAAGCUCAGGAAAACUGGUGCUCCCAGCAGUCCCUGAUUCCUGCUAAAUGCUGUUGGGUGCAGUCACACAAGGCACUGAGUGUUGCCCAUCCUCCCAAAACUCAUCUGUCCCACAAAGCAUCUCCUUUUCUGCUUCCAUCCCCUCUUAAUUUCAAAACACUCAGCACUCCAUGAGCAGAGAGGCUCAAGUGCCGGUGUUUAACAGCCCUGAAAACCACUCUGGUUUUGCACAAAUAACAUUUUUCUUGUUGAAGCCUGUGCACAAAGCUUCUGAGAAGGAUGUAGGUACCAGUGGGCAUUACAGGAUAAAAGUACUGUAACAGCCAGGAAUAAAUACAUGGCAGAUGUUCAUUAACAAGACACUAAUUGGGUAACUGGAGGUGCAGCGUAAAAGACCACAGAGGCCAAUCGAGAAGCGUUGGGUGAAUCUAGGAUGCUCCUCUGAGCUCGGGGAGCAGGAGGAAAUAAA